UACGUAGGGGGCAAGCGUUAUCCGGAUUUACUGGGUGUAAAGGGAGCGUAGACGGCUGUGCAAGUCUGAAGUGAAAGCCCGGGGCUUAACCCCGGGACUGCUUUGGAAACUGUAUAGCUUGAGUGCAGGAGAGGUAAGCGGAAUUCCUAGUGUAGCGGUGAAAUGCGUAGAUAUUAGGAGGAACACCAGUGGCGAAGGCGGCUUACUGGACUGCAACUGACGUUGAGGCACGAAAGCGUGGGGAGCAAACAGG
rnacentral:rRNA from 1 species